CGGGUAUAGCUCAGUGGUAGAGCGCAACCUUGCCAAACAAAAAA
rnacentral:tRNA from 1 species